GUGACAGAAAAUCACCAGCAUCUAAUGAUGCUGGAGUUGUCAUCAGCUCAGCCUUCCACCCUAGGUACCAAGCACUAAGAGAACAUCCAUGGUUCCAUGCAAAAAAAAGGAUAGAAGCUGUGCUGAAGACCAGAAAGUGAGAGUGGAAGAUUUUGGAUGAAAUGCAUGGCACACGUGUAUGAAAUGGACUUUUCUGAGGAUUGAGACAGAAUACUUUUCUGUCAUAACAAUACCAAACUAUAUGAGUGGACAUUGGACAGGUCUGUUCUCC